rnacentral:lncRNA from 1 species
CCUCUCUACCUCCUCUCUCUUUCUCUUUCUUUUUUUCUCUAGUUCAUCUCCCAUUUUCAUUUCAGUUUGGAUCCAAUAUGGUCCAAUAUAGAAAUUGUCACGAUCUGAACCCAACAUCGGAUCAGAUACGUAAUGGCCGCACACUCCUUAGGACAAAGAUCCUAAAGAAUAUACAAUGCCUAAAAUAAUUCAUUACAAUAUCUUAAUAUCUAUAAAUAAUAAUGGUAUAUUUUCAUAACAAUGAGCAAAAUUUAUAUAAUUAUAAAUUCAAUUC